GGGGUUGUGGCUCAGUGGCAGAGCAUCUGCUUGGUGUGCAGAAGUGCCCCGGUUCAAUCCCCGGCAUCUCCA